GUGGGGAAUCUUGGACAAUGGGCGCAAGCCUGAUCCAGCCAUGCCGCGUGGAUGAUGAAGGCCCUAGGGUUGUAAAAUCCUUUCGUUGGGGACGAUAAUGACGGUACCCAAAGAAGAAGCUCCGGCUAACUUCGUGCCAGCAGCCGCGGUAAUACGAAGGGGGCUAGCGUUGUUCGGAUUUACUGGGCGUAAAGCGCGUGUAGGCGGACUUGUAAGUUGGGGGUGAAAUCCCGGAGCUCAACUCCGGAACUGCCUCCAAAACUACAAGUCUGGAGCAAGAUAGAGGCAAGUGGAAUUGCGAGUGUAGAGGUGAAAUUCGUAGAUAUUCGCAGGAACACCAGUGGCGAAGGCGACUUGCUGGAUCUUUGCUGACGCUGAGACGCGAAAGCGUGGGGAGCAAACAGGAUUAGAAACCCGUGUAGUCC
rnacentral:rRNA from 1 species